GAUCUGAAAUCAGGGAGGGCUACCCGCUGAACUUAAGCAUAUCAAUAAGCGGAGGAAAAGAAACUAACAAGGAUUCCCCUAGUAACGGCGAGUGAAGCGGGAAGAGCUCAAAUUUAAAAUCUGGUUUGCUUUGCAAAUCCGAGUUGUAGUCUGAAGAAACGUUUUCCAUGAAAGCUGAGGCACAAGUCCUUUGGAACAGGGCAUCAUAGAGGGUGAGAAUCCCGUCCAUGGUCUCAAGCCUUUCAUUUUGUGAUACGUUUUCUAAGAGUCAGGUUGUUUGGGAAUGCAGCCUAAAAUGGGUGGUAAAUUUCAUCUAAAGCUAAAUAUUGGCGAGAGACCGAUAGCGAACAAGUACCGUGAGGGAAAGAUGAAAAGAACUUUGAAAAGAGAGUUAAAAAGUACGUGAAAUUGUUGAAAGGGAACCGUUUGAAGCCAG
rnacentral:rRNA from 1 species